UAAAGUCACCAAGGACCACCACCUCCGC
rnacentral:sRNA from 1 species